rnacentral:rRNA from 1 species
UACAGAGGUCUCAACCGUUGUUCGGAUUCAUUGGGCGUAAAGGGUGCGUAGGCGGCGCGGUAAGUCGGAUGUGAAAUCUCGGAGCUUAACUUCGAAACUGCAUUCGAUACUGCCGUGCUUGAGGACUGGAGAGGAGACUGGAAUUUACGGUGUAGCGGUGAAAUGCGUAGAUAUCGUAAGGAAGACCGGUGGCGAAGGCGGGUCUCUGGACAGUUCCUGACGCUGAGGCACGAAGGCCAGGGGAGCAAACGGG